rnacentral:rRNA from 1 species
UACGAAGGGGGCUAGCGUUGCUCGGAAUCACUGGGCGUAAAGCGCACGUAGGCGGCUUACUAAGUCAGGGGUGAAAUCCUGGAGCUCAACUCCAGAACUGCCUUUGAUACUGGUGAGCUUGAGUCCGGAAGAGGUGAGUGGAACUGCGAGUGUAGAGGUGAAAUUCGUAGAUAUUAGGAAGAACACCAGUGGCGAAGGCGGCUCACUGGCCCGGUACUGACGCUGAGGCGCGAAAGCGUGGGGAGCAAACAGG